CCUUCCUGCCGGGACUUUCCCCAUGGAGGGACGUGCCUUGGCCGCCCGCCCUCCCAAGCGCAGCGUCGGUGGCUCCUCGCGGGAUCCGGUGAGCCCCCUUCCUCGCCCCAGAGGCUCCAGUUUGUGGGUCUGAGUCUGGAGGGCUGAAAGGCGGAUGGGGGCGGGGACGACUAGAGGCAAGGCAGGAAAAUACGACGGGAAGGGAAGGGAGAUGCCCAGGUGACAACUGUUUAAAAAGGGAGGGGGGCACCUAUAGGAAGAGCAAACCUGUUUCAGCCCAUGGCUGAAGAUGCUUGUGCAUCUUCCUGGGAGUUGGGUGUGUGCACUGCAGAAGCUCAUUCAAGCUCAUCGCAGGAAGCAGCUGUUUAGCAGAAAAUAAAUAAUAAUAAUACAGUGGUACCUCGGGUUAAGUACAGUGGUUCCUCGCAAGACGAAAUUAAUUCGUUCCGCGAGUUUUUUCGUCUUGUGGUUUUUUCGUCUUGUGAAGCACGGUGUCGGAAAAGUUUUGGAAAAGCUUCAAAAAUCACCAAAGACUGGGGUUAUGUACAGGUGGUACAUAACCCCAGUCAAGCUUGCGAAAAUCUAUCACUUGCCCGAUAACAAAUGUUGGAAAUGUAAAGAAACUGAAGGUACAUUUUUUCACCUUUGGUGGACGUGCCCAAAGAUUAAGGCUUUCUGGGAAAUGAUAUAUAAUGAAUUAAAAAAGGUAUUUAAGUAUACCUUCCCUAAGAAACCAGAGGCCUUUCUCCUGGGCAUAGCCGGCCAAAUGGUGGUAAAAAAGGAUAGAACUUUCUUUAUGUAUGCAACAACAGCAGCAAGAAUACUCAUCGCAAAGUAUUGGAAGACACAAGAACUUCCCACGCUGGAGGAAUGGCAGAUGAAACUUAUGGACUAUAUGGAACUGGCUGAAAUGACUGGUAGAAUCCGUGACCAGGGAGAAGAGUCGAUGGAGGAAGACUGGAAGAAAUUCAAAGACUAUCUUCAGAAACACUGCAAAAUUAAGGACUGUUAGAGUGAUGUUGGACUGAAAACAAGUGGUUUCCAGCUGCACAGGUUAAAGUUAAGGAUAGAUUAAGAUUAAAGAUCAAGAUUAAAGAUGUUUAAAGAAAUGGAAAUUUGAUAUUAAAAGGAAAACUUUAAAGUUAUAUGAUAUUAAGAUCAAGGAUUAGGUUUAAAAAGUUGAAGUUAUAUAUUUUAACAUUUUAUUAAAUUAAAGAUUGGGAUUAAAAAGUGGAAAAGAAACUGCUGGACAAAUAAUGUGGACUGGAAUACAAAAAGAGGAGGUAUGAGGAAGCCUAGAAAAUAAGUAAUUUAAAAUUGGAAAUGGAAAAGAGAGUUUGUUUUUAAUUGUUGUGCUUUGUGUUUUUAUUGUUAAGUUUUGUAUUGUUUUUUGUGUGUGUUGUUUUUCUUGUUUUCUUGUUUAAAACUUU
rnacentral:lncRNA from 1 species